rnacentral:rRNA from 1 species
AGAGCGAACGCUGGCGGCAGGCCUAAUACAUGCAAGUCGAACGGAUCCUUCGGGAUUAGUGGCGGACGGGUGAGUAACACGUGGGAACGUACCCUUUGGUUCGGAACAACUCAGGGAAACUUGAGCUAAUACCGAAUGUGCCCUUCGGGGAAAAGAUUUAUCGCCAUUGGAGCGGCCCGCGUCUGAUUAGCUAGUUGGUAGGGUAAAGGCCUACCAAGGCUACGAUCAGUAGCUGGUCUGAGAGGAUGAUCAGCCACACUGGGACUGAGACACGGCCCAGACUCCUACGGGAGGCAGCAGUAGGGAAUCUUGCGCAAUGGCGAAAGCCUGACGCAGCCAUGCCGCGUGAAUGAUGAAGGUCUUAGGAUUGUAAAAUUCUUUCAGCGGGGACGAUAAUGACGGUACCGCAGAAGAACGCCCGGCUAACUUCGUGCCAGCAGCCGC